rnacentral:rRNA from 1 species
AGUGAACGCUGGCGGUAGGCCUAACACAUGCAAGUCGAACGGCAGCACAGGAGAGCUUGCUCUCGGGGUGGCGCGUGGCGGACGGGGGAGGAAUACAUCGGAAUCUACUCUGUCGUGGGGGAUAACGUAGGAAAACUUACGCUAAUACCGCAUACGACCUACGGGUGAAAUCCGGGGACCUUCUGGCCUUGCGCAAUUCAAUGAGCCGAUGUCGGAUUAGCUAGUUGGCGGGGUAAAGGCCCACCAAGGCGACGAUCCGUAGCUGGUCUGAGAGGAUGAUCAGCCACACUGGAACUGAGACACGGUCCAGACUCCUACGGGAGGCAGCAGUGGGGAAUAUUGGACAAUGGGCGCAAGCCUGAUCCAGCCAUACCGCGUGGGUGAAGAGGGCCUUCGGGUUGUAAAGCCCUUUUGUUGGGAAAGAAAUCCAGCUGGCUAAUACCCGGUUGGGAUGACGGUACCCAAAGAAUAAGCACCGGCUAACUUCGUGCCAGCCGCCGCAGUAA